AACGUAGGAGACAAACGUUAUCCGGAGUUACUGGGCGUAAAGGGCGUGUAGGUGGUUUCGUAAGUCUGGCGUGAAAUUUUUCGGCUUAACCGGGAAAGGUCGUCGGAUACUGCGGAGCUAGAGGACGGUAGAGGCGUGUGGAAUUCCGGGUGUAGCGGUGAAAUGCGCAGAUAUCGGGAAGAACACCCGUGGCGAAGGCGGCACUCUGGGACGGUACUGACGCUGAGACGCGAAAGCGUGGGGAGCGAACAGG
rnacentral:rRNA from 1 species